UGAUCCUGGCUCAAGAUGAACGCUGGCGGCGUGCUUAUACAUGCAAGUCGAACGAAGCACUUUUGACAGAUCCCCUCGGGGUGAAUAUGAUUGUGACUUAUUGGCGGACGGGUGACUAACGCGUGGGGAACCUGCCUUAUGCUGGGGGAUAACAGUUACAAAUGACUGCUAAUACCGCAUAAACGCACGAGGCCGCAUGGACAUGUGUGAAAAGAUUUAUCGCCAUGAGAUGGACCCGCGUCUGAUUAGGUAGUUGGCGGGGUAACGGCCCACCAACCCCGCGAUCAGUAGCCGACUUGAGAGAGUGAUCGGCCACAUUGGGACUGAUACACGGCCCAUACUCCUACAGGAGGCAGCAUUACGGAAUAUUGCACAAUGGGGGAAACCCUGAUGCAUCUACGCCUCGUGAGUGAACAACUAUUUCGGUACGUAAAGCUCUAUCAGCAGGGAAGAUAAUGACGGUACCUGACUAAGAACCCCCUGCUAACUACGUGCCAACUUCCGCGGUAAUACGUAGGGGGCAAGCGUUAUCCGGAUUUACUGGGUGUAAAGGGAGUGUAUGUGGUCUGGCAAGUCAUAUGUGAAAGCCCGCGGCUCAACUGCUGGACUGCAUUUGAAACUGUCAGACUGGACUGCAUGACAGGAAAGUGGAAUUCCUAGUGUAUCGGUGAAAUGCGUAGAUAUUAGGAAGAACACCAGUGGCGAACGCGGCUUUCUGGACUGUAACUGACACUGAGGCUCGAAAGCGUGGGGAGCAAACAGGAUUAGAUACCCCUGGUAGUCCACGCCGUAAACGAUGAAUACUAGGUGUCGGGUGGCAAAGCCAUUCGGUGCCGCAGCUAACGCAAUAAGUAUUCCACUUGGGGAGUACGUUCGCAAGAAUGAAACUCAAAGGAAUUGACGGGGACCCGCACAAGCGGUGGAGCAUGUGGUUUAAUUCGAAGCAACGCGAAGAACCUUACCUGAUCUUGACAUCCUCCUGACCAUGUGAUGUAAUGUCGGACUUCCUUCGGGACAGGAGAGACAGGUGGUGCAUGGUUGUCGUCAGCUCGUGUCGUGAGAUGUUGGGUUAAGUCCCGCAACGAGCGCAACCCUUGUCGUUAGUUGCCAGCGGUCCGGCCGGGCACUCUAGGGAGACUGCCAGGGAUAACCUGGAGGAAGGUGGGGAUGACGUCAAAUCAUCAUGCCCCUUAUGACCAGGGCUACACACGUGCUACAAUGGCGUAAACAAAGAGAAGCGAACCUGUGAGGGGGAGCCAACCUCAAAAAUAACGUCUCAGUUCGGAGUGCAGUCUGCAACUCGAUUGCACGAGGCUGGAAUCGCUAGUAAUCGCGAAUCAGAAUGUCGCGGUGAAUACGUUCCCGGGUCUUGUACACACCGCCCGUCACACCAUGGGAGUCGGAAAUGCCCGAAAGCCUGUGACCCAACUUUUCUAAGAGGGAGCAGUCGAAGGUGG
rnacentral:rRNA from 1 species